UGCUAUAGAGCUCCUCUGCUGGU
rnacentral:miRNA from 1 species